CAAGCCAUAACAUAAACCUCCAGGAAGCAGAAGUGUGAGCCUGGGCUGCCCCAGCUGCUUUCUUCAAGCUUCCUCUUGCCAGAGCUGUCCUUGAAUCAUAGGACAGGAAUCCUGCCCAGGCUAACCUGGACCAGCGAGCUUCUAUACCUCAAUCUUUAGAUUCGACUUAGCAAUCAAGCUGAAAUUAUCAAGAGAAACACUGAAUACAAACAACACUGUUGGCACUGGGUAUCCAGCCAUCCUGUGCUCUCCUGCAAGGUACACUGAAGGUGUCCAUUGUGAUGUCCAGUUGACUCAGUCACCAUCCCUGUCUGCAUCUCUGAGAGAGAGAGUCACCAUCACCUGCAAAGCCAGUCAGGUCAUUAGCAAUUAUUUACAUUAGUAGCAGCAGAGAGCAGGGAAAGCUCCAAAGCUCCUGAUCUAUUUUGCACCUACUUGGCAAUCUGGGGUCCCAUGGAGGUUCAAUGGAAGUGGAUCUGGCACAGAGUUCACUCUCAGCAUCAGCAGCCUGCAGCCUGAAGAUUUUGCCACUUACUACUGUCAGCAGGGUAAUUAUUUACCUACCCCUGUGACACCAGUCAUAAC